UAACAGGAUUCCCCUAGUAACUGCGAGUGAAGCGGGAAAAGCUCAAAUUUAAAAUCUGGCAGCUUUGCUGUCCGAGUUGUAAUCUGGAGAAGCAUUUUCUGUGUCAGACCGUGUACAAGUCUCUUGGAAUAGAGCGUCAUAGAGGGUGAGAAUCCCGUCCAUGACACGGACCGCUGAUACUUUGUGAUAUGCUCUCGAAGAGUCGAGUUGUUUGGGAAUGCAGCUCAAAAUGGGUGGUAAAUUCCAUCUAAAGCUAAAUAUUGGCGAGAGACCGAUAGCGAACAAGUACCGUGAGGGAAAGAUGAAAAGCACUUUGGAAAGAGAGUUAAACAGUACGUGAAAUUGUUGAAAGGGAAACGCUUGAAGUCAGUCGCGUUGAUUAGAACUCAGCCUUGCUUGCAUGGUGUACUUUCUUUUCAAUGGGUCAACGUCAAUUUUGGUUGAUGGAUAAAGACUUAGGGAAUGUGGCACCUCCGGGUGUGUUAUAGCCCUUCGUUGCAUACACUGACUGGGAUUGAGGACUGCAGCACGCCUUUUUGGCCGGGGGUUUACCUCACGUAACGUGCUUAGGAUGUUGGCAUAAUGGCUUUAAGCGACCCGUGUUGAAACACGGACCAAGGAGUCUAACAUGCUUGCGAGUGUUAGGGUGGAAAACCCUUGCGCGUAAUGAAAGUGAAAGUUGGGACCUCUUCUGAGGGCACCGACGCCCGGCCCUGAAGUUUACUGACGGUGCUGCGGUAGAGCACGUAUGUUGGGACCCGAAAGAUGGUGAACUAUGCCUGAAUAGGGUGAAGCCAGGGGAAACUCUGGUGGAGGCUCGUAGCGAUUCUGACGUGCAAAUCGAUCGUCAAAUUUGGG
rnacentral:rRNA from 1 species